rnacentral:rRNA from 1 species
UACGUAGGGGGCAAGCGUUGUCCGGAAUCAUUGGGCGUAAAGAGCGCGUAGGCGGCCCAGUAAGUCCGCUCUGAAAGUCAGGGGCUCAACCCCUGGAUGCGGGUGGAUACUGCCGGGCUUGAGUCCGGGAGAGGUGAGUGGAACUGCGAGUGUAGAGGUGAAAUUCGUAGAUAUUCGCAAGAACACCAGUGGCGAAGGCGGCUCACUGGCCCGGUACUGACGCUGAGGUGCGAAAGCGUGGGGAGCAAACAGG